rnacentral:rRNA from 1 species
AGAGUGUAAAGGCAAAAGAGAGCUUGAUUGCAAGACAUACAGGUCGAGCAAGGAUGAAAAUCGGACUUAGUGAUCCGGUGGUUCUGCGUGGAAGGGCCAUCGCUCAACGGAUAAAAGCUACCCUGGGGAUAACAGGCUUAUCUCCCCCAAGAGUCCACAUCGACGGGGAGGUUUGGCACCUCGAUGUCGGCUCAUCACAUCCUGGGGCUGUAGUAGGUCCCAAGGGUUGGGCUGUUCGCCCAUUAAAGUGGUACGCGAGCUGGGUUCAGAACGUCGUGAGACAGUUCGGUCCCUAUCCGUCGCAGGCGUAGGAAAUUUGAGAAGACCUGUCCUUAGUACGAGAGGACCGGGAUGGACGUACCUCUGGUGUACCAGUUGUCCUGCCAAGGGCAUGGCUGGGUAGCUAUGUACGGAAUGGAUAAGCGCUGAAAGCAUCUAAGCGCGAAGCCAACUUCAAGAUAAGAUUUCCCACCGCAAGGGUAAGACCCCAGAAAGACUAUCUGGUUGAUAGGUCGAAGGUGUAAGUG